rnacentral:rRNA from 1 species
AGAGUUUGAUCAUGGCUCAGGACGAACGCUGGCGGCGUGCUUAACACAUGCAAGUCGAGCGGAAAGGCCCUUCGGGGUACUCGAGCGGCGAACGGGUGAGUAACACGUGAGCAACCUGCCCUAGGCUUUGGGAUAACCCUCGGAAACGGGGCUAAUACCGAAUAUGACCUUUGGACGCAUGUCUUUUGGUGGAAAGUUUUUCGGCCUGGGAUGGGCUCGCGGCCUAUCAGCUUGUUGGUGGGGUGAUGGCCUACCAAGGCGACGACGGGUAGCCGGCCUGAGAGGGCGACCGGCCACACUGGGACUGAGACACGGCCCAGACUCCUACGGGAGGCAGCAGUGGGGAAUAUUGCACAAUGGGCGGAAGCCUGAUGCAGCGACGCCGCGUGAGGGAUGACGGCCUUCGGGUUGUAAACCUCUUUCAGCAGGGACGAAGCGUAAGUGACGGUACCUGCAGAAGAAGCACCGGCCAACUACGUGCCAGCAGCCGCGGUAAUAC